rnacentral:rRNA from 1 species
GACGAACCGUGCGAACGUUAUUCGGAAUCACUGGGCUUACAGGGUGCGUAGGCGGCUCAACAAGUCAGGUGUGAAAGCCCCCGGCUCAACCAGGGAACUGCGCUUGAAACUGUUAGGCUCGAGUCAGCUAGAGGUACACGGAACUUCCAGUGGAGCGGUGAAAUGUGUUGAUAUUGGAAGGAACACCGGAGGCGAAAGCGGUGUACUGGGGCUGGUCUGACGCUGAGGCACGAAAGCCAGGGGAGCGAACGGG